UAGCUCAGUUGGUAGAGCACAUCAUUCGUAACGAUGGGGCCACAGGUUCGAGUCCUGAGUGCCACCA
rnacentral:tRNA from 1 species